rnacentral:rRNA from 1 species
GAGGUAGCCGACACAGAGAUUAUAUAUAGCUGUUGACAUUAGUUGCCCAGGCACUUUGUUGACUCUAGAGAACCUCGGGCCAAUCGCACAUCCCCGUGACGGCGACUUUGCACUCGGAUGUCAUCCAUAUCAAAUUUCAGUGCCAGUUUCUGCGCCUACCAUGGUGACCACGGGUAACGAGGAAUCAGGGUUCCAUUCCGUACAGGGACCCUGAGAAACGGCUACCACAUGCAAGGAAGGCAGCAGGUGCGCAAAUGACCCACUCCCGAUGCGGGGAUGUA